CUGACUAGAAAAAUGGUGCACAGCUUCAGAUUCAUCAUCUAGCUAGUAUCUCUAGCUAUAGAGCAUGCAUCAUGAGUAAUUGUUGCGUUGCAUUGCAUUGCAUGAUUGGGUAUGUGCAUGCGUGCUGGCAAUGAUCAUGCAUGCUGGUGCCAUGCAAUGCAAGUGACGACCAUGCAUGCUCACUAGCACUAGCAGCAUGCAAAUGUGAAUGGGUUGACCUCGAGCAAUGCAAAGCAAGCAAAUGACUCUGCAGCUGGUGCUAACUCUCGAUUGACGAGUCAACGAACAGCAGGAAUCUUUGGAUAGGGAAAAACAAAGUCAUGCAUGGAUCUUGAUCGACGCAAGCAUUUAUGAAGGCCAUGUGGUUGCAUGCAGUGCAAUGCAAUGUAAUGGUCUCCCGAGGCCAUGUUUAGUUACUCCCAACUUCCAACUUUGACACUAUGCAAAAAGAAGAUUCUCCAUCACAUCAAACUUGCGGUACAUGCAUGGAGUACUAAAUGUAGAUAAAAUUAAAAAGUAAUUGCACAGUUUUGUUGUACUUUGCGAGACGAAUCUUUUGAGCCUAAUUAGUCAAUAUUUGGACAAUAAUUCACAAAUACAAACGAAACGCUACAGUGUGCUACAGUGCUGUAACAGUAAUUUGGCACCUCCCAAAUUCGCGAACUAAACAAGGCCCGAGUUUUGCUUUGACCACAGCAUCGAUUAGCAUGUAAGCGAUUUCAAAUUAUAGGUUGUUUUAGUUUUUUUUCAUGGAUAGUAUUACACAUCUAGACAUCUACUGGAUGUGCGUGGUAAAAACUAUGUACUUAUAAAAGUUAAAACGAUCUACAAUUUAAAACGGAGGGAGUAAUACUCUGUCAGUUGUUAUAUGCAGGAGUUCUUUACAUUUGUCAUCAUGCGUGCAUGUGAGUUAGUACUAUCUAGUUGAAUGUGCGUGUAUAUAUACAGUACACUAGCUAGUAUUACUAAUAAUUAGUAAGAUGGAAUAGUACGUAGGAGGAGAAAUUAAGCUAGAUUGGUGU
rnacentral:lncRNA from 1 species